rnacentral:rRNA from 1 species
UACGGAGGGGGCUAGCGUUGUUCGGAAUUACUGGGCGUAAAGCGCGCGUAGGCGGAUCUGCAAGUCGGGGGUGAAAUCCCGAGGCUCAACCUCGGAACUGCCUUCGAUACUGCGGGUCUCGAGUCCGGGAGAGGUGAGUGGAAUUCCUAGUGUAGAGGUGAAAUUCGUAGAUAUUAGGAAGAACACCAGUGGCGAAGGCGGCUCACUGGCCCGGUACUCACGCUGAGGCGCGAAAGCGUGGGGAGCAAACAGG